UGUCUGGCCUUGCGAAGACUUGGCUGGAAGAGCAACACUGUUGCUUAGAUUUAAGAAUCUGAUAUAGCUGUUCAGGGGCCUAGAUAGGAAGAAGGUGAGACCUAAUUAGAAUUUUUCUAUUUCCUCCACAUUCAAUUUAGGCUGAUCCUUGUUGCUUUGAGGGUUUCUCUUCAUUAUACCUGGAGAAAACUAGUGCUUGCCACAUCCUUAGACCAUAAAUAUACUUUGCCUUA